GAAAACCCUCAGCAUCACGUGACUCCAGAAGCGAGACAGCUGUUACCUUGGAAACCCGUGAGUAGGCAGACUGACAGUUAACGGCGAUUUACUCAGCAGAUCAGCGGGAUCAACAUAAACAGCUGACACCGGACACCGGUAAACGGCGGAGAAGAGCACAAAACACCGAACUAACUCACACAGGUCUGCCUCUGCAUGCCGGGCGAGCGCAGCUCCUCCUCUUCCUCCUGGACGGGCCGUGGCGGUGGGUAGUUGGGCUGAUAGUAGGAGCCGUAGCUGCCGUACGGGUCUGCCUCCUCCGCCUCACCCUCCGGCCCGUACGGCUGGUAGGAGCUCGGCGGAAGCUGAACUACAGGGACAUCGAUGUCAGUGAGGU
rnacentral:lncRNA from 1 species